UCUCUGAAGCCCAGUUUGAAGCUAGUAGGGGACAGACCACCAGAGAGUCGAGCACAACAUCUGAGUCCACAGAUAUAAAACUGACGACGUCUCAAAUUGUGAAAAUUGAGAGAAGCUGUAAUAAUCCCCCAACAUCUGACUCAUCAGUCACAGAAUCACAAGUUGGACAAGGGUCAAACAUAGCAAAACAAGAGAGCAAAAGCCCACCUGCUUCACGUGUUACACCUGUAGAAGAGUUACCUGUCAGCCAGAAAGAAGAAAGUAAAGCAAAAUCCACUUGCCAGACUAUGAGAGGAUUACAAACAGUCAAACCCAAAAUCAAUUUAUCACGGAUGUCAAGAACUGUGCAGUCUAAACGUCAAGUCACAAAAGACCCUGUCACACCUAUGCAGCUUGCAGAGACACACUCCAGCCCAACUUCCAGGUCUGAUUCCACUGACGAAGCACAACCAACUUGCAGUACCACCCCUCCUGAAAAACAAAGCCAAAUUAAGAGUACUGGCACAGCUUCAGUGUCGGUACCAUCAUUGGAAUUAUGCUCUUCUCAUAAAACCACCGAUGAAUUAUCUUCAACAGAGAAGCAAAACAUAGAUGUUGGAUGUGGACUAGACUCAAACUCGGAGGGCUCCGGACAAAAUGUGCUUCACAGAAGGCAACGUUUUCCCAAAGUCAAACCUAAACCCAAUUUAGGCUCCUCUCCUCGAACUACACAAACAAAACUGCAGUCAAGUGUUAUCAGUAAACCUUUAGAACAGUGCCAUAUGGACACCUCUUUAACCACAGAACAACAGCCUGUGGACAAUAACAACGCACAAUCAGAACUGGAACUCGCAGAGACAGACUGGCAAGCACUUGACUUCAACACAUUGUUCAUUACGUACAGAACUUAUCAGCUCAACAUUAAGACCUGCAGAAUCAGAUAAGUCACUAGACCGCACAAGUGAUAAGGGUAUGUCCUUUGACGGUGUCGUCAUAGCAUCAUCUUGGGUCGCUGAGAAUCAGUCUGUGCUGACAGACUCAGUCUUUGAAAAUGAGAGGAGUGAAAAACCUGCAGUAGAAGGGGAAUCCACAGGGGACAAAAUGUCAAAUAAUGAUAAGGUGGAGGCUGGACCUGCUUCGCAACAGGAAAAAUCCAUUAAAGCUACAGAGACAAAUACCCAACCAACAGCAGUUUCAGAUGUCCAGUCUUCAAAAGAUGGUUCAACAGAGUCAUCAUUGGAAGAUAUAUGCCCGACUAUUACACAGUCGACACCAGAUUCAAAGGAAAGAACUGAAACUAAUCAAACAGCUGCCCGAAGCACUGAUGACAAUCAGUCGGAGCCAACCGACUCUCCCUCAAGAAAAGCUCCCCAGACUCGUAGAGCCAGGCUUAUUAAACCCAAACCCAGCCUGGGACGCAGCAGACGACCUCUACAACCCCAACAAGUCCAGAAUACAAAACAAGCAGAAGCAGAAAUUGGUACUUGCUCAGGUGUGGAUGGUGUGUCUGAACGUCGACCUGACAUCCAAGAACCAGUAGAGGGAGCUAUUGAACAAUGUAGGGACCAAAUUCCCUCUCCAAAUGUAGCUGGAUCCGCUCCGGGUUGUUUGGCACAAGUACGUGACAGUUGUACUCAGGAUGCAUCAACGUCAAGUACCCAAAGUCGUCCAAGUCUCACAAGAUUUCCAGACAUGCGGCAGGAACCUUCAGAUGCAGAUGAACCGUUCUUCAUCCUCUCUCUGACAGAGAUCCCAGUCUGCUCAUCUGGGGCGGCAGUGGGCAGUGUGCCUGAGCCCCUCCCUUAUCUUCAUGUAACAGAUGCAUCAAUAGAGCAACAGAGUAUUCCUGGAGAGAGUUUGGGAGCAGCAGGAGACAGGCCUCUCUCUAAUGUCCCUGUGCCUGCCAUGGAGGAGAGUGGUGAGACAGGCCUCAUCAAUGUGAAAGACAUUGGGCCGGACCCAGCUGCAUAUAUAGGUUCGAUCGUGGGGAAUCCAGUGGAUCCACAUGAGAGUACUACAGUUCAUCCAUCUAAAGGACAAGAGACAAUAGAGAAUAAUGAUGAGACCCCCCCUACAAAGCAGAGACUAAUGGGCACUAGAAGAAGAGAACCAGCCAAACUGCAGGUUAAGCCCAAUAUUACAAAGAGGAAACAAGCCAGCAAGACCCUCGCUGCAAAGAAAGCUGAGUCCAUCUCCAUCCAAACAAACACCCCCCAGCUCUCAGAGCUUCCUGGGCCUUCUGUGCCGUCAAAAGCCUUCGAUGAUGUUGUCACUGAGCCACAGAAAGGAAGUGGUCAUCAUGUAGAUGUGGAAAAGGAGAAAAGAAAAGGCAAAGGUUCCCUUUCCUUGGUUUCUGAGACAAACAUCGUUGCACCUGCAAGCGAUUCUCCACCUGGCAAAGCAGCUUCCAAGAGCUCUAAGUUCAAAACUCCCCGCGCAGCAGGAAAGAAAACUCCCCCAGCACAUGUAGCCUCAACAUCAUAUGAUGUCGCUCCCACACCUAGCCCGACACAUUCGGCAGAGGACACCCACUCCUCUACCACAUCCUCAACUCAAACGGAGGCUGUCGUCGUAAAGACUUCUGAGCGCAGCCGACCAUGUUCAGACCAAAGUCCGAGCACCUCCCCGUGUCCAGCUGAGGUUUCAGCUUCUCAGCAGAGUGACUGUGUGGAGAGCAGCUCUAUAGAGGAGGAGCCCACCAGUGUGUCUCAGUACUUCUUAAGUGACAUUUUUACAGAAGUUGAAGAGGGAUGAAAGAGAGGCAGGAAGGGUGGCGUUCCCUUUUUACAUUUGUGUUUUGUUAAGUUAUGUCUGUAAAGGUUAAUUUAUAACUAACUUGUUUUUGUUGCUUUUGCUGUCAGUUGUAAUGAAAUGAAGCUACAUGUACUAUACUUUCACAAGCACUUUGAACAUUUUUAAUUUACUGAAAUGUCUUUUUAAAAAGCCAGUAGUUCACAUAAUAAGUAUUGAGUUGUACAAAUUAAUAACUAAAACACUGGUAAAUCACUAGUUUGGUUUAAAGAGGAGGCAGCAUUUCCCCAAUAAUUCAUUAUGUUUCAAGCCUCAGAUUCCUUCAUUUGCUUAUUAAUUAUUAUUAUUAACUACCUGGGAUAUAUUGUACAGAAGCAAACUGGUUUAUGAGUUUUUUGUUUUAAUGCAGGCCACGACUUUGGUCUAAUGAAGAAGAACAUUACUUGACAUCAUGUACAGUUAUACGCUAAAAUGAACGACCCUUUUUUAUAAUGCCUCUUCUGUGUGUUCAUGUGCACAUUUUCAAUUAUCGAUUCUCAUCCUACAAGCAGAGGUUAGUCAAACUUUAUUUAAGGAGAAUGUUCUGCCAGCAAGCUUUCAUUGAGAGGUUUGUUGUAAUGUGUAUAUAGUGUUCAAAAAGGUCCUUGUACAGAUUCACAGCAUUCUCAACAUGUUUGAUACUUGAAACAAAAACACAUCAUGUGUUAUCUUUAACUGUUUUAUUAGUUCAUUAACAGUAAAACGUUGAAUUCUGUAAGAUCUGAAUAAAACACAUUCUUCCUCCACAACUUGACUCUUUCUUUCAUCUCAGUUCCCUUUUGGUACAGAUUC
ensembl:lncRNA